ACAAGCGGCGGACGGGUGAGCAAUGUUUGGGAAUCUGCCUAUUAGUGGGGGACAACCCGGGGAAACUCGGGCUAAUACCGCAUAAGCACCAUGGUGGAAAGCCGGGGACCGCAAGGCCUGGCGCUAAUAGAUGAGCCCAAAUCGGAUUAGCUAGUUGGUGAGGUAACGGCUCACCAAGGCGACGAUCCGUAGCUGGUUUGAGAGAACGACCAGCCACACCGGAACUGAGACACGGUCCGG
rnacentral:rRNA from 1 species